rnacentral:lncRNA from 1 species
ACAACCCUCGCACUAACCCGCCGCCGUCGUGUGAGGAGGUGUGGAUCACGGUGAUGUCACAUUGCUCGUGUUGGGAUGUCCGUCACCCUGCAGAGUGAGGGCCGUUUCCCACUCACUGCGGUGCGGGACCCUCAAACAAGGGGCCCCCGCCAGGGCGCAGGCCUGACCCAGGGCUGGAAAGCGAGGGCCACGCCCACUGCCGGCCCGGCGGCCCAGGGCGCGGUGGGCGUCGCAACAGGACUGAGCCUGCGCAGCAGGUGCUCAUAGCCGUUUGCCGAGUGAAAGAAGAAACAGACGUCUAUGGCCUUGGGACAGGUGCGCGCCUCCUCCACCGCCCCCCAGAGGGGCGUCCAAGACUCCUUUUUCAGUUGAUCGGGACAUGUACUCACCUCCAGAGUGACCUAUGGAAGGUGCGACCCAGGAGGGCCUCACCCGGCACCCUCCUCCUUCCCUCCGCGGACAACAGCCUCGUUCUGUGGCCAGGCGUGUCGCUGCCUCAGUUUCCCCAGCUUGAGUGGGAGGAGGGCGCUGGAGGAGAGGGACAGAGCGCUACAAGUCAGUGUGGCCGGGCCAAGGAAAGGCCAGGCUGCUCUGCUCCUGGUUCCAGAGCUCGCAUCUCCUCCUGGGCCCGCGGAACGAAUCCCCAGGCUCCCCGGCCUGCUCCCGCCAUCCCUGCUGUCUCCCUGUCCCUGACACUCCCCCUCGGGGUGACUCAUUUCCUGUGCACCCCAUCCCAUCCUGCCCCAGAACACGGACACCCGAGGACAGGCCUUCGCCCAGCAGCCUCAGGGUCUAGGCCGGGGCCAGGGGCACGGCGCGCUGGACACACACCCUCCGCGGGCACAGCAUGCGCGCCCCUGUGCACAUCCCCAAGGACCUGGAAAGCGGUGGCUGCUGUCAAAUGCUGGAGGAGGAAAUCUGACGCAGGAGAGGAGGAUGUGCCCAGCAGGGGGGAGUUUUUCUAUCCUGGGAACCUCUGUGGGCCUCUCCUGCUGGAACCUACUGGGUUCCCCGCCGUUAACCCUCACAGCGCCUCAGGAGGAGUGUUUUUUAUUAUAGGGAAGGACAUUAGGCUCAGAGAGGUAAAUACACUUGUCCAAGGUCACACAGCAGUAAGUGCAGGAUCCAGAGUUCUAACCCUUGCCUGGCUCCGGAGCCUGACUUCUUGCUGUUAA